UGUAUGGCGUCUUUCCGAACUCCCUCGACCGUCCGAGCUUCCAUGAUACCAUCCAGACUUCUCCAAUAAUGAGCUCUCCCAUUCAUCUACCGGACUGCUCCAAAUGCUCUCUGGACUUCACUAUCAGCUGAUUUUCUACAGUGAUCGACUAUUCUCCGAAUCUCUUCCAGACCUCUUCCGACCAUGAAUGACUUUACUCCGAACUUCUUUCGG
rnacentral:lncRNA from 1 species